rnacentral:rRNA from 1 species
UGGCGGCCAUGCCUAAUACAUGCAAGUCGAACGGGGUGCUUGCACCCAGUGGCGAACGGGUGAGUAACACGUAUCUAAUCUACCCAUUAGCGGGGGAUAACAGUUGGAAACGACUGCUAAUACCGCAUGAUAUCUUUGGAGGCAUCUUUGAAGGUUGAAAGGUCCGUUUGGACCACUAAUGGAUGAGGGUGCGGCGUAUUAGCUUGUUGGUGGGGUAAUGGCCUACCAAGGCGAUGAUACGUAGCCGACCUGAGAGGGUGAUCGGCCACAUCGGGACUGAGACACGGCCCGAACUCCUACGGGAGGCAGCAGUA